rnacentral:tRNA from 1 species
GGGGCUGUGGCUCGGUGGUAGAGCAUCUGCUUGGCAUGCAGAAGGUCCCAGGUUCAAUCCCAGUCAUCCCCA